GAACUUCAUAACGCCCAGGACCAGUGCUACAUGAAUCCCGUACUAUGCUGCACUGGUUAUGUGAUGCGCUCCUCCAAUCAGGAGUGAUGUCGUGCUGUGACGAGCGACCGGAGUUGAACAACCAACAGCAGGCCUUGAUGUUAAUCGGUGUAUAAUCUCAAAGAUCCCGUCUGCCGCAGAUGCAAAUCGAGGGAGUGUUUUUGCUAGGAGAUUCCAGGACAGUCCAGUAUUCCUCCACCCCCCCUCUGCAGGACAUCCAACAUUUGGCUGAUGUAAUACUGUAAUUGACAUUAGCUGCUUGCCAAUGUAACGGAGUUUACUUGAAACCACACUUUUGUGAUGAGGUAGCUAUGUCUGAGGCUUGUAAACACAAAUUAAAUCAACUUAAAUGAAAAAUGUACAUCAACAUGCCUCAUAUUAUAUUUACUACAU